GGAGAGCGGCGGUAGGGGAUGGAUGGAGGUCCUCCGGCAGCCAGCGAGGGGCGAGGCGGCCGUGUGCGGCGUGGCCGUCGGGCGGCAAGAUCUGAGCUCCUGCUCCGAAGGGGCGUUGGGGAUGGCCGCCAAGCGUUGAGGGGACAGCAGGGAUGCGCUUCGAAGAGUUCUGAGGUGUUUGGUAGGGGAGGUCCUCACCGGAUGGCAUCGAGCUCCAAGGCCUACUGGACAUGAAACUGACGUACCAAGAGUUGUAAGUUCUUAAAACUUGUAUUAAAUUGAUAAAAACAAAGACUCUGAGCAAACACUCAGAAAACUCGUAUGAGAGUAUCGCCCUUUCCAGAGCAUAAAGCACAUCUGGUUCCGUUGUAUCACUGUUACAACACGUGAAGAAAGCAUCUGUGGAACUCCUUGGGAUCUGGUUGCCCACGCCUGGCAGGAGCUGCUGUGCCCGUGGCCUGGUUGCCCUGCAGGCAUUGCCUGCACCUCCCUCAGCUCCCACCUGCAGCUCUGCCCUCGGAGCACUGGGAGGAGCAGCACGAGCAUUUGUCUGCUUCUGUGUCUUGAGGACAUUUGUUCCAGAAAGUCUGCAUUUUUCUAAACUAGGCUGUAAUCCUUUUUUAAAGAGGAGUGUUCUAAGAGACUGAUAGGUGUGAUACCAGUGGUGAACGUGCUUUUUGCAGAUUUCUAUAGAAGUGACAUUAUCUGGGAGGUGAAUGCUUGACAUUUCCAUUUUGUUUUCUCAACCAGCUGAGAGAAUGCCUUUCUGUCCCAGCUUCCUGGCUGAGACAAUGAGCUGCACAGGGCUCCCAUGCUCACAUCCCCUCCCAGCGAUAACAUCCUCUCAGCUGUAGCUCCUGCAUGUGGACAGAGCAAAUGCUGCCACACAAGGCUGAGCAAAUCCAUCCUGGCAAAAGAAGUCCCCAACUAAAAGUCAAUAUUUAAGCAAAAACAAAAUAACAAAAAAACUGCAACACAUCCUUAAGUUUCAUUUUGGAUUUUCAGGUGUUGUUUUCCUGUAGAUGUUCUGGGGCUCAUAUGAGGAGGGUGUGCAUGUGUGUGUAUGCAAAUGUCUUUUUUCCGUUGCUUACUUGGGGACAGGAGGUUGAAGAUUUGUGGGCACUCACUGUAAGUUUUUAGGAACUGCUCUUGGGUCUGUUCCAAUCUGACAGCAGCUAACUAGUACCUUGGGAGUACAUAAGGCUGUGGAGAUGCUGACAUACAAUCCUCAAGCACGAAGUGAGAACAUGUGCUUCAGAUGGAGGAUAAUCCAGGCUCAGAACAAAGCUGUGUUUAUAUAAAGUGCUGGAAACGAAGAACGAAGGCAGCUCAAAGAAGUCACAUUAUCUUACAAGAAACGUUUGCAUUGCUUUGUAGUUUUUCAUGCUUUGGGUGUUGCACUGUAAAACAUGUCAGUGUGUUAGGGCCAACCGUAAUUUAUUGUAGCUCUUUUUCUUCCGUGGCCUUCCCACCCAAGAGCAGUGCCAUUAGCACUGACACAGAUGCAGUCAGGAGCAUGCUUUUUGUGCUGGUCUGUGUUCAGCAAGUUACAGUCUAGGAACUGUACGGUGCAGCUGUUAAGCACUCACUUCACCUUGACAGAGAACCUCAUCGUGCCAGCUCAGGAUGCAGUGGUGUGACACAAGGAGCUGUGGGAAACACCCCCUCAGCACAAAGCUCUCCCUGAUGCAGUAUCCGCUGAGGAAUGCUGGAAUGGUCGUGGAGAAUGGUAGCAAAGUCGCUGAUGGAAGAGCUGUGGUGUUGCAUUGGUCUGCUCGGUGCUGUCCCCACUCACUGAGUGUGGUGAAAAGUUCUGAGUUUCUACAUGAAGUUCUCUUCAGACAUCACUACCGCAGCUUUCAGUAAGCCAGAUUAUGAAAACCAGUGCAGAACUCCUGGGUUUAUUACGGUCAUGCAAUUAAACAACAUUUUGGUGAAGAACAGAGCUCUGUAGACCCAAAGGCAUUGAAGUGGUGGUUUCUGCAAGCAUGGGACUUGACGUACUGCCUGCCAGUCAUGCUGUCUUUGGCACCAGGCAAGUCUGGCUUCCAUCACCAAGCUGUUGUGCCCUGCUGAUGACCUGUACACUGUUUCUUGGUGUUAGUGAACAGGAAUCAGGGCUUUCCCCGAUGCCCCCAAAUUUUUCUCCCCGUUUCUAACUGUCUAACUUUGACAAACUUUAACUGUAUUUAGGCUGAAUCUUUUCUUGUUGGGCUUAAGGUUUAAUUCUCUUUGGGGAACUUAAUUCAGUGGAGUGCAUCUUCUUUAAAACCAAGGUUGGGAUGUGGUGGUGUUGCACACACGUCCAGCUACUUUCAGAAAUGGCUCUGUGAGGUCAUUUUGUCGCUGUGGCGCUUUGGGACAAGUUUGGGCAGGGGGAGUGACUUCCAUGUAAGGGAUGCACGUGUUUGGUUUUUACUGUUACUACUCUCAGUUGGCCAAAUGUUUGCAAAAAACCCGUUAGCAUGUGCUAGUAAAAGUGGUUUUUGUA